GGGGAAUUUUGGACAAUGGGGGCAACCCUGAUCCAGCCAUCCCGCGUGUGCGAUGAAGGCCUUCGGGUUGUAAAGCACUUUUGUCAGGGAAGAAACAGCGCGGGCUAAUAUUCUGCGCGAAUGACGGUACCUGAAGAAUAAGCACCGGCUAACUACGUGCCAGCAGUCGCGGUAAUACGUAGGGUGCAAGCGUUAAUCGGAAUUACUGGGCGUAAAGCGUGCGCAGGCGGUUGAUUAAGACAGGCGUGAAAUCCCCGGGCUUAACCUGGGAACUGCGCUUGUGACUGGUCGGCUAGAGUACGGCAGAGGGGGGUGGAAUUCCACGUGUAGCAGUGAAAUGCGUAGAGAUGUGGAGGAACACCAAUGGCGAAGGCAGCCCCCUGGGUCGAUACUGACGCUCAUGCACGAAAGCGUGGGGAGCAAACA
rnacentral:rRNA from 1 species